UACGAAGGGUGCAAACGUUGCUCGGAAUUACUGGGCGUAAAGCGUGCGUAGACGGCUAUCUAAGUCGGGUGUGAAAGCCCCGGGCUCAACCUGGGAAUUGCAUUCGAGACUGAAUAGCUAGGGUGCGGUAGAGGGAAGCGGAAUUUCCGGUGUAGCGGUGAAAUGCGUAGAUAUCGGAAGGAACAUCAGUGGCGAAAAGCGGCUUC
rnacentral:rRNA from 1 species